rnacentral:rRNA from 1 species
ACUAAGCGUACACGGUGGAUGCCCUGGCAGUCAGAGGCGAUGAAGGACGUGCUAAUCUGCGAUAAGCGUCGGUAAGGUGAUAUGAACCGUUAUAACCGGCGAUUUCCGAAUGGGGAAACCCAGUGUGAUUCGUCACACUAUCAUUAACUGAAUCCAUAGGUUAAUGAGGCGAACCGGGGGAACUGAAACAUCUAAGUACCCCGAGGAAAAGAAAUCAACCGAGAUUCCCCCAGUAGCGGCGAGCGAACGGGGAGCAGCCCAGAGCCUGAAUCAGUGUGUGUGUUAGUGGAAGCGUCUGGAAAGGCGCGCGAUACAGGGUGACAGCCCCGUACACAAAAAUGCACAUGCUGUGAGCUCGAUGAGUAGGGCGGGACACGUGGUAUCCUGUCUGAAUAUGGGGGGACCAUCCUCCAAGGCUAAAUACUCCUGACUGACCGAUAGUGAACCAGUACCGUGAGGGAAAGGCGAAAAGAACCCCGGCGAGGGGAGUGAAAAAGAACCUGAAACCGUGUACGUACAAGCAGUGGGAGCACAGAGCAAUCUGUGUGACUGCGUACCUUUUGUAUAAUGGGUCAGCGACUUAUAUUCUGUAGCAAGGUUAACCGAAUAGGGGAGCCGAAGGGAAACCGAGUCUUAACUGGGCGUUAAGUUGCAGGGUAUAGACCCGAAACCCGGUGAUCUAGCCAUGGGCAGGUUGAAGGUUGGGUAACACUAACUGGAGGACCGAACCGACUAAUGUUGAAAAAUUAGCGGAUGACUUGUGGCUGGGGGUGAAAGGCCAAUCAAACCGGGAGAUAGCUGGUUCUCCCCGAAAGCUAUUUAGGUAGCGCCUCGUGAAUUCAUCUCCGGGGGUAGAGCACUGUUUCGGCAAGGGGGUCAUCCCGACUUACCAACCCGAUGCAAACUGCGAAUACCGGAGAAUGUUAUCACGGGAGACACACGGCGGGUGCUAACGUCCGUCGUGAAGAGGGAAACAACCCAGACCGCCAGCUAAGGUCCCAAAGUCAUGGUUAAGUGGGAAACGAUGUGGGAAGGCCCAGACAGCCAGGAUGUUGGCUUAGAAGCAGCCAUCAUUUAAAGAAAGCGUAAUAGCUCACUGGUCGAGUCGGCCUGCGCGGAAGAUGUAACGGGGCUAAACCAUGCACCGAAGCUGCGGCAGCGACGCUUAUGCGUUGUUGGGUAGGGGAGCGUUCUGUAAGCCUGUGAAGGUGUGCUGUGAGGCAUGCUGGAGGUAUCAGAAGUGCGAAUGCUGACAUAAGUAACGAUAAAGCGGGUGAAAAGCCCGCUCGCCGGAAGACCAAGGGUUCCUGUCCAACGUUAAUCGGGGCAGGGUGAGUCGACCCCUAAGGCGAGGCCGAAAGGCGUAGUCGAUGGGAAACAGGUUAAUAUUCCUGUACUUGGUGUUACUGCGAAGGGGGGACGGAGAAGGCUAUGUUGGCCGGGCGACGGUUGUCCCGGUUUAAGCGUGUAGGCUGGUUUUCCAGGCAAAUCCGGAAAAUCAAGGCUGAGGCGUGAUGACGAGGCACUACGGUGCUGAAGCAACAAAUGCCCUGCUUCCAGGAAAAGCCUCUAAGCAUCAGGUAACAUCAAAUCGUACCCCAAACCGACACAGGUGGUCAGGUAGAGAAUACCAAGGCGCUUGAGAGAACUCGGGUGAAGGAACUAGGCAAAAUGGUGCCGUAACUUCGGGAGAAGGCACGCUGAUAUGUAGGUGAAGUCCCUCGCGGAUGGAGCUGAAAUCAGUCGAAGAUACCAGCUGGCUGCAACUGUUUAUUAAAAACACAGCACUGUGCAAACACGAAAGUGGACGUAUACGGUGUGACGCCUGCCCGGUGCCGGAAGGUUAAUUGAUGGGGUUAGCGCAAGCGAAGCUCUUGAUCGAAGCCCCGGUAAACGGCGGCCGUAACUAUAACGGUCCUAAGGUAGCGAAAUUCCUUGUCGGGUAAGUUCCGACCUGCACGAAUGGCGUAAUGAUGGCCAGGCUGUCUCCACCCGAGACUCAGUGAAAUUGAACUCGCUGUGAAGAUGCAGUGUACCCGCGGCAAGACGGAAAGACCCCGUGAACCUUUACUAUAGCUUGACACUGAACAUUGAGCCUUGAUGUGUAGGAUAGGUGGGAGGCUUUGAAGUGUGGACGCCAGUCUGCAUGGAGCCGACCUUGAAAUACCACCCUUUAAUGUUUGAUGUUCUAACGUUGACCCGUAAUCCGGGUUGCGGACAGUGUCUGGUGGGUAGUUUGACUGGGGCGGUCUCCUCCUAAAGAGUAACGGAGGAGCACGAAGGUUGGCUAAUCCUGGUCGGACAUCAGGAGGUUAGUGCAAUGGCAUAAGCCAGCUUGACUGCGAGCGUGACGGCGCGAGCAGGUGCGAAAGCAGGUCAUAGUGAUCCGGUGGUUCUGAAUGGAAGGGCCAUCGCUCAACGGAUAAAAGGUACUCCGGGGAUAACAGGCUGAUACCGCCCAAGAGUUCAUAUCGACGGCGGUGUUUGGCACCUCGAUGUCGGCUCAUCACAUCCUGGGGCUGAAGUAGGUCCCAAGGGUAUGGCUGUUCGCCAUUUAAAGUGGUACGCGAGCUGGGUUUAGAACGUCGUGAGACAGUUCGGUCCCUAUCUGCCGUGGGCGCUGGAGAACUGAGGGGGGCUGCUCCUAGUACGAGAGGACCGGAGUGGACGCAUCACUGGUGUUCGGGUUGUCAUGCCAAUGGCACUGCCCGGUAGCUAAAUGCGGAAGAGAUAAGUGCUGAAAGCAUCUAAGCACGAAACUUGCCCCGAGAUGAGUUCUCCCUGACUCCUUGAGAGUCCUGAAGGAACGUUGAAGACGACGACGUUGAUAGGCCGGGUGUGUAAGCGCAGCGAUGCGUUGAGCUAACCGGUACUAAUGAACCGUGAGGCUUAACC